GUGGGCGUAGCUCAAUCGGUUAGAGCGCCAGGUUGUGGCCCUGGAGGCUGUGGGUUCAAGUCCCAUCGCUCACCCCA
rnacentral:tRNA from 1 species